rnacentral:misc_RNA from 1 species
UUCGUUCAUUUUACUUUGCUCGUCGUCGUCUUGAUCUUGUUGCUGGACCGGCUCUCCUGAUUCCAGCUCAUGAGCUUGCGGAAGACCCCCUGCCUUUCUUCGCAGGUGGAUGUGGAUCUCCUCCCAAAGCUGCUGCUCUUCCGCUUCUUGCUGCCGCGGUUGCUGCUCAUGCUGCUCCAGCUCCCGAGCUUGGCCGCCUUCCUGUCACCGCCGCCCACGGGGGCCGCGGCGUCCCUGUCCGGCACCACCGGUGGCGCCACGCACCGGAUGAGCGCCCAGUCCACGCCGGAGAAGAACGGGUGCCGCUUGAUCUCGGCGGCGCCGCGCGUGGCGCCCAUGCGGCGGCGCGGGUCGCGCUCCAGCAGCCGCCCCACGAGGUCCCGCAGCUGCGAGGCGUCGGCCUCGCCGUCCAGCUGAGGGUAGGUGGCCUGCUUGGAGAGGAU